rnacentral:rRNA from 1 species
GCGAGUGGCGGACGGGUGAGGAAUACAUCGGAAUCUACCUUUUCGUGGGGGAUAACGUAGGGAAACUUACGCUAAUACCGCAUACGACCUUAGGGUGAAAGCGGAGGACCUUCGGGCUUCGCGCGGAUAGAUGAGCCGAUGUCGGAUUAGCUAGUUGGCGGGGUAAAGGCCCACCAAGGCGACGAUCCGUAGCUGGUCUGAGAGGAUGAUCAGCCACACUGGAACUGAGACACGGUCCAGACUCCUACGGGAGGCAGCAGUGGGGAAUAUUGGACAAUGGGCGCAAGCCUGAUCCAGCCAUGCCGCGUGGGUGAAGAAGGCCUUCGGGUUGUAAAGCCCUUUUGUUGGGAAAGAAAAGCAGUCGGUUAAUACCCGAUUGUUCUGACGGUACCCAAAGAAUAAGCACCGGCUAACUUCGUGCCAGCAGCCGCGGUAAUACGAAGGGUGCAAGCGUUACUCGGAAUUACUGGGCGUAAAGCGUGCGUAGGUGGUUGUUUAAGUCCGUUGUGAAAGCCCUGGGCUCAACCUGGGAAUUGCAGUGGAUACUGGGCAACUAGAGUGUGGUAGAGGAUGGCGGAAUUCCCGGUGUAGCAGUGAAAUGCGUAGAGAUCGGGAGGAACAUCUGUGG